UAGGUGACAAUGUCUGUUGUCCGACCCCGC
rnacentral:piRNA from 1 species